rnacentral:rRNA from 1 species
CCCUUAGAUGUUCUGGGCGGCCCGCGCACUACAAUGGCGCUUUCAGCGAGUUCCUAUGUUGAAUUUUCCUGGGUAUGCUUGGAAGCGGCGUCUUGACUUGGGAUAGAUCCUUGUAAUUGUUGGUUUUGAACGAGGAAUUCCUUGUAAUCGCGGUUGAUCAGCUCGCGUUGAAUACGUCCCUGCCCUUUGUACACACCGCCCGUCGCUCCUACCGAUGAAUCGUCCGGUGAAGUUCACAGAGUGGCGGUUCGUGGAGUUGCUCGCGAAGUGAAAUGGACCUCACGAUUUAGAGGAAGGAGAAGUCGUAACA